rnacentral:rRNA from 1 species
CGUAGGGUGCAAGCGUUAAUCGGAAUUACUGGGCGUAAAGCGUGCGCAGGCGGCUUAGUAAGACAGGCGUGAAAUCCCCGGGCUCAACCUGGGAACUGCGCUUGUGACUGCUAAGCUAGAGUACGGCAGAGGGGGGUGGAAUUCCACGUGUAGCAGUGAAAUGCGUAGAGAUGUGGAGGAACACCAAUGGCGAAGGCAGCCCCCUGGGUCGAUACUGACGCUCAUGCACGAAAGCGUGGGUAGCAAACAGGAUUAGAUACCCUGGUAGUCCACGCCCUAAACGAUGUCAACUAGGUGUUGGGAGGGUAAAACCUUUUAGUACCGGAGCUAACGCGUGAAGUUGACCGCCUGGGGAGUACGGCCGCAAGGUUA